rnacentral:sRNA from 1 species
UGGCAGCGGUGGCACUGCCCGGGAGUAAA